rnacentral:tRNA from 1 species
GCGGGUGUAACUCAGUGGUAGAGUACAAGCUUCCCAAGCUUGAAGUCGCGGGUUCGAAUCCCGUUACCCGCUCCA